rnacentral:tRNA from 1 species
GGUCCCAUCGUCUAGGGGUCUAGGACGCCGGCCUCUCACGCCGGUAACGCGGGUUCGAAUCCCGCUGGGAUCA